GGGGUUGUAGUUAACUAUAACAUUUGAUUUGCAUUCAAAAAGUACUGCCAGCAGUCAUCCUCA
rnacentral:tRNA from 1 species